UUACCCGUAUUUUUUACCUUUGUAGUAGAUCCGCCGGGUUUUGGGUAGGUUCACCAUUUACAACGCUUAGCGGAAGAGCGUCGUGUAAGG